ensembl:lncRNA
AUGGUCUCUUCCUCCCUCUUCGUCCGCCUGCCGAAUAACGAGCCCAGCGCUUUUCGCGGGCUGCCGCGGUGCUUGCUGGGAGCCGUCCUCCUCCCUUGCUUUCCCGCCUUGCAAGGGAAGCCAGGGACGGGCUUCCCGCCGCACACGAAAUGGAGUCCUCGGCUCCUCCCAGAAGCCGCCGCCCUUCAGCUCCCCCAAGAUUCCGAGAUGGUACGUUCGAGCCAAUCAGCCGCCAGUUCCUUUUUGCCGCCACCUCCCGCCCGUCUACAUGGUACGUCCCGAGCGCUUAAAGGGAGCCGCACGCGGGUUCGUUCGUUCUUUCGCUCGCGCCGCUGCUCGUCUUGUGUUUGGGCUGCGGAGGGGAGGAAGGAAACGAUGAGGCCUUGCAGGCGCCGAGAGGGUGAAAAGAAGCAACUGUUUGAUUUCUCCUCUGGGUGGCAGCAGGGUCAAGAACAGAGGGCAAUGGAUUUCCAAGAGCCUGGAAAAGCCAAAUGCUUCCCAACCAAGAGGUUAGUGGCUGGUGACUUGUCAACCACAUACAGCUCAAAAGCGGCCUCCCCAGCAUUUUCUUCAAGGCCUUCCCAGGUGCACCCCACCACCUCUCUCUCUUUGCAUAUGGCAUACCUGGCAGUGUGGCUGUGACUCCAAGAAAACAAGUAGAGGCUCAUUCCAAUCCAACUCAUCUUUGCAAAGUUUUGGGAACAGGGCAGAAGACAGAAACCUGUUUUGAAAAGUCUCUUCUGUAUGUGGCCACAAAUAUGUAUAAGCUGUGAGAGUGAAUAAAACUUAUUUUUGAAUGUACAACUGCAUUGCACUGGUUUUUUACGUGUGCCUGAGGGAAAGCGUGCGAACAGGCUACUCUGUGCCAUAGGCUGUGUUCAAACUAGGUCAAAUGCUCAUUGUCUGCAGAUGUUGGUGGGUUUCAGUUAUCACCCUCUGCCAGCACAGCCAGUAGUGUAAAAUUCCAGGAGUUGUAGUGUGGAAGGCUACAAGCUAGCCCUUUUAAGUAUAAAGCAAGCCAGGAAACAUUGCUUGAGUUUGAGAUGCUUCUGGGCCAGAGAGGUGGCCCUCAAAUCAAAUACUUAUGUGUGCACACAGAAGAGGUUUAGACUUGGUGGUUCUCGCUAUCCUGUUGGUGAUAGACCAACCAGGCCCAUCAUAUCCUAUGAGCAAGCAGGAGUGACAACCUGCCCACUGCUUCUCAGGCUCUUUCAGAACUUUAAAUGGCUUUUGCCUUUCCUCUGCUGUAUAGCACCAGGCAACAUGGUAGCUGUCAGCUAUAACACCCUCACAGGGCUAGCGGGAGUGAAAUACCAUCUGUAAGGCACCAGGCCCUGUGGUGUAGCCAUUGUCUUGGGGUUUGUUUUUUCCAGGGAGUGUUGCCACAUGGUGGCAUAUUGCCCAUCAACAAAGAGUGAGGCUACAGGGAUUAAUUAUCCUUUCCUGUGAGUUAAGUGGGAGGGGGGCAACUUAUUUAAACAUUGCAGUCCUUUGUGUUGCACCAAAGCCACCUCUAUUGAGCUUGCUUAUUUGCUCAGACACCUGUAAGUGUAGCAGCUCAUGGGAGAUAAAUUUGAAAAAUGUGCUUUUGUGUGAAUUGAUUCCUUAGCAGAUACUUUAAAAACACUUUUAAGAUUCCCUGAUGGAAGUUCAGUUAGCCAGAGAGAUUUGGCACCAGCAAUUUGAGUUAAUAGUGUGAGAGAGGCUCAAUCUAUUUGCCGUAGAAGCCUCAUGCACAAGGCAUGCAUAGUUUUGGCACUCAGCCCCUCCUUUGUUUUGUUUUUUUUAAAUAUGCUUUUUAUUAGGUUUUCAUUUCAUAUACCCCUUGUCCACUCUCAAAAGGGGCAGUGUGCUCAUUCCCAGUACGGUAAAUGGUGGGUAGCUGAUUUUUCUGAGGCGCUUGGUGAGUCUAUCACAGACUUGGCCCUCCCUGAGACUGGCAUGGUUAGUAAUAAUAGUCUUAAGCACUGCAGGCUGUGAGGCAGUAAACACUUUAUCUCGCAGGCAGCAGGAUGUCGCCUUCAUUAAUGCGCCUGCCUGCAUUUCCCAAGCAGACAGGUGCAUGGAUGAUUACAAAUUGAAGGCUGAAGCUACACAGGAAGAGAAAAUGGAAGGGGUAAUGUCACAUCUCUCGGGCAUGCUUGUGCCAUGCAGCUUUCCCUUACUGCCUCCCCCAACUGAUGCCAUCCAAGGGGAGAAGCUCAAUAGAUGGCUAAAUCUUAGCUGCUGGCAUGUAAGCAGUACUGUUGGGCGCUCUUUUGAAACAGCCGGAGCUUGUGGUGAGCAACAGCCAGUAGAUUUGCUCAUUCUGUUCACGUGCCUGGGAGUAUCUGGCUCACAAUCCAGCAUGCAGAGCAUUCAGCCUUUUUGUCACGGCAACACUCUCAUUCUGAAGGUGUCACAGAUAAGCCCAGAUGCACAAGGGCAAAAUCUCAAAGAAACUGGAGCAGAGCUUGGACUGCUGUUUGAACACAUGAAGGUGAUCAACACAAAGUCUCGCUCUUGGGCUCUCAAAAUCCUGCCUUCGCUCUUCCAACCAGCUUCAGGUAGUGGGAGAAGAGCCUUGUGGCCAUGCUGCUGCCUCCUGGGCUCUUAACAGAGGCCAUUGGUAAUGGAGUUACACCCCCACUCUGCCAAGGCACCUCCUGUCACUCCCCCUCCCCCUGUGCUAGCCACCCUGGCUAGAAGGCAGAGGAAAGAGCACAUUCUUUGGUUCAGUGUCUCCUUGCUUCAGCUGCAGCCUUUGCCUCUUAAGAGCACUAUUGCAGGAUUAGAUCCCAGCACACAGGACGAAGACUGUCGCUUAAGCUGACAGCUGAGAAACCCUUCUAUUUAAAUAAAAUACUUUUAUUGUUACGCCUGCUUGACAAAGCAUAUAAAAACAGUUUCAGCUACAUGCAAACUAUGACAACAUUUGGAGCCACCGAUGGGGGUGGGGGGCAGGGUUAGGUUGGUCCCUCUGGAGUGUAAAAGUGGGCACUCCGGUCAACUGAAAAUGUGGAGUUGCAUUUGUGCCAUGGGGAAAACAGCUGAAAUAAGCCUGAUCCAGUGUCCCCCGUCCCUCCCCCGUGGAGAAGAGAGGUGUUGGAAGCUGAAAUAGGCUUUCCUCUAUGAAGAUCCUGGCAGUUGUGCAGGGCCUGUUUCAAAUUGGGUGUUUACCCAAAUUAAAGCACUUAAUGCAUAUGGGGUUACUGACUUAAUCCUGGCUGGGUGGAGUGGGAAGUGAGUGGUGGCUUACCAUGUCCACAGGCAGACUGGAAAACGACAAGAGCUAAUAUGCUCGCAUGGAGCUGAAGUUCAGCAAGGCCUUAGCUGGCAAACGGUCCACUAGUGGAGGCCCCAGGGCUGCGUUUUGUAAACUAGUAACUCCCCUCUACGGUCUCCUCCUCUGUCACAGUGAUGGGAAAUCCAAAAGAACCGAAGACACCACACGGAGAGACUGUUGACACACGACAGCUAUUUCACACCACAAUUGCGACAUGAACAUCUGGAAGCAUUGGCUUGAUUCCCUCUGGUAUUGUCACCAGAAGCCACAUGUUGGUGACCCCUGAAGCAAAGCAGGCCACACUUAAGCCCCAGCAGCUUUGGAGGGGAGAGUGAAGCAAAGGGAGUUUGGCUUUUCCUGCUUUGCUGGAUCAACCGACCUAGAAUCUGAGGCUUAGGGCAGCAACUUUUGCACCUGCCUUCACUGCACUGAAACUCAGCGUGUUAAAUUGUGAGACUCAGCGGCAGGGGAGGGGAGAGGCAAAAUCCACUUAUUUCUUGCAUUGUUGGUGCUAGUGAACAGUGUCUGUUCCUCUGCUGCAUGUGGGAAUGGGGAGAGGAAGGCAAUUUCCCAGUUCUUCUGGAUCAGGCUGAUGAUAUGCACUCCUAACAUUUGAAAAAUCAGCAUUUCCCCCAGUUCUGUGGGAUAACUGGCCCCCUGCCUUUGAUGCAAGGAUGAAAAUCCUUUCCUGAAACUUCUACCACGAAAAUACUUGGGAACUUUUUUUUUAAAAGCAAUCAAUCUGUAACCACUAUAAGGAACAGAAAAUGAGCAAACGUGAAAGUCCUGGUGAAGAGUUCUGCGUAACUAGGAACCUACACCGGACAAAGACUGGCUCAGUAGUGGUGUUGCCUUCUCAGUUUGUCUUUCGUUCUCUGGAACUAAAGCGGCUGCAGCACUAGAGAUCUCCCCUCUGUGUUUGUCACAAGAUCUUGGGAGUUGAAGGGCCGAGAGCAUCACUAAUGUACUGAAGGGUGCAGCCUGCCUCCCCGACACCACUUCUUUCUGUCCACUCGUUUAUUGUCCUCAAAAGAGGACCCUCCUCAGUAUCUGUGGCGUCUGGGGCCAAGAUCUUUGCUGCUGAUGCUGCUGUCACCGGGGUGGGAAAUGGGUGGGUGUCUGCCGAGAGCAUUCUGGCC